rfam:Schistosoma haematobium scaffold1618_20, whole genome shotgun sequence.
AUCCAGAUGACGAGUCCCAAAUAGAAUUAAAUGUGCUUCCUGGAU